UACGGAGGGCUCAAGCGUUGUUCGGAUUCAUUGGGCGUAAAGGGCGCGUAGGUGGCGCGCUAAGUCGGGUGUGAAAUUUCGGAGCUUAACUUCGAAACUGCAUUCGAUACUGGCGUGCUUGAGGACUGGAGAGGAGACUGGAAUUCAUGGUGUAGCAGUGAAAUGCGUAGAGAUCAUGAGGAAGACCAGUGGCGAAGGCGGGUCUCUGGACAGUUCCUGACACUGAGACACGAAGGCCAGGGGAGCAAACGGG
rnacentral:rRNA from 1 species